UAAAAGCCAUGUCUCUCCUUUGGGGGC
rnacentral:piRNA from 1 species